UGCUGGAUAGCUCAGUUGGUAGAGCAUGAGGCUGGGUUGUGGGUUCAAGCCCCGCACUGGGUGAA